UAUAAGCACAAUCAUAAAUUUCCGUGUCCAGCUUUGACCAUCCGUCUUAUUUAAAAUUUUUUAUGUUUAGUAUUUUAAUUGUUAUUAGAUGAUAGAACAUAAAUAAUACUUUAUGCGUGAUUUAUAUUUUUUAUUUUUUCAAAAAAGUUUCAAAUAAGAUGGACGAUUAGAGUUGGACACGGAAACUCAUAGCUGCACUUAAA
rfam:Oryza punctata chromosome 7, whole genome shotgun sequence.